UACGUAGGGGGCAAGCGUUGUCCGGAUUUACUGGGCGUAAAGAGCGUGUAGGCGGCCAAGACAGGUCCGUUGAUGAAACUGGAGGCUCAACCUUCAGACGUCGACGGAAACCGUCUGGCUAGAGUCCGGAAGAGGAGAGUGGAAUUCCUGGUGUAGCGGUGAAAUGCGCAGAUAUCAGGAGGAACACCGGUGGCGAAGGCGGGUCUCUGGGCCGAUACUGACGCUGAGGAGCGAAAGCGUGGGGAGCGAACAGG
rnacentral:rRNA from 1 species